rnacentral:tRNA from 1 species
GGUGCUGUGGUUGGUUUAAGUUGGUUUAAGCACCUGUCUAGUCAACAGGAGAUCCUGGGUUCAAAUCCCUGCAGUGCCU